AGUGAACGCUGGCGGUAGGCCUAACACAUGCAAGUCGAACGGCAGCACAGUAAGAGCUUGCUCUUACGGGUGGCGAGUGGCGGACGGGUGAGGAAUACAUCGGAAUCUACUUUUUCGUGGGGGAUAACGUAGGGAAACUUACGCUAAUACCGCAUACGACCUACGGGUGAAAGCAGGGGAUCUUCGGACCUUGCGCGACUGAAUGAGCCGAUGUCGGAUUAGCUAGUUGGCGGGGUAAGGCCCACCAAGGCGACGAUCCGUAGCUGGACUGAGAGGAUGAUCAGCCACACUGGAACUGAGACACGGUCCAGACUCCUACGGGAGGCAGCAGUGGGGAAUAUUGGACAAUGGGCGGAAGCCUGAUCCAGCUAUACCGCGUGGGUGAAGAAGGCCUUCGGGUUGUAAAGCCCUUUUGUUGGGAAAGAAAAGCAGCAGGUUAAUACCCCGCUGUUCUGACGGUACCCAAAGAAUAAGCACCGGCUAACUUCGUG
rnacentral:rRNA from 1 species